rnacentral:rRNA from 1 species
GGUCAAGUGAAGAAGCGCAUACGGUGGAUGCCUUGGCAGUCAGAGGCGAUGAAAGACGUGGUAGCCUGCGAAAAGCUUCGGGGAGUCGGCAAACAGACUUUGAUCCGGAGAUCUCUGAAUGGGGGAACCCACCUAGGAUAACCUAGGUAUCUUGUACUGAAUCCAUAGGUGCAAGAGGCGAACCAGGGGAACUGAAACAUCUAAGUACCCUGAGGAAAAGAAAUCAACCGAGAUUCCCUUAGUAGUGGCGAGCGAACGGGGAUUAGCCCUUAAGCUUCAUUGAUUUUAGCGGAACGCUCUGGAAAGUGCGGCCAUAGUGGGUGAUAGCCCCGUACGCGAAAGGAUCUUUGAAGUGAAAUCGAGUAGGACGGAGCACGAGAAACUUUGUCUGAACAUGGGGGGACCAUCCUCCAAGGCUAAAUACUACUGACUGACCGAUAGUGAACCAGUACCGUGAGGGAAAGGCGAAAAGAACCCCGGAGAGGGGAGUGAAAUAGAACCUGAAACCGUAUGCGUACAAGCAGUGGGAGCCUACUUGUUAGGUGACUGCGUACCUUUUGUAUAAUGGGUCAGCGACUUAUAUUCAGUGGCAAGCUUAACCGUAUAGGGUAGGCGUAGCGAAAGCGAGUCUUAAUAGGGCGUUUAGUCGCUGGGUAUAGACCCGAAACCGGGCGAUCUAUCCAUGAGCAGGUUGAAGGUUAGGUAACACUGACUGGAGGACCGAACCCACUCCCGUUGAAAAGGUAGGGGAUGACUUGUGGAUCGGAGUGAAAGGCUAAUCAAGCUCGGAGAUAGCUGGUUCUCCUCGAAAGCUAUUUAGGUAGCGCCUCAUGUAUCACUCUGGGGGGUAGAGCACUGUUUCGGCUAGGGGGUCAUCCCGACUUACCAAACCGAUGCAAACUCCGAAUACCCAGAAGUGCCGAGCAUGGGAGACACACGGCGGGUGCUAACGUCCGUCGUGAAAAGGGAAACAACCCAGACCGCCAGCUAAGGUCCCAAAGUUGUGGUUAAGUGGUAAACGAUGUGGGAAGGCUUAGACAGCUAGGAGGUUGGCUUAGAAGCAGCCAUCCUUUAAAGAAAGCGUAAUAGCUCACUAGUCGAGUCGGCCUGCGCGGAAGAUGUAACGGGGCUCAAACCACACACCGAAGCUGCGGGUGUCACGUAAGUGACGCGGUAGAGGAGCGUUCUGUAAGCCUGUGAAGGUGAGUUGAGAAGCUUGCUGGAGGUAUCAGAAGUGCGAAUGCUGACAUGAGUAACGACAAUGGGUGUGAAAAACACCCACGCCGAAAGACCAAGGGUUCCUGCGCAACGUUAAUCGACGCAGGGUUAGUCGGUUCCUAAGGCGAGGCUGAAAAGCGUAGUCGAUGGGAAACAGGUUAAUAUUCCUGUACUUCUGGUUACUGCGAUGGAGGGACGGAGAAGGCUAGGCCAGCUUGGCGUUGGUUGUCCAAGUUUAAGGUGGUAGGCUGAAAUCUUAGGUAAAUCCGGGGUUUCAAGGCCGAGAGCUGAUGACGAGUCGUCUUUUAGAUGACGAAGUGGUUGAUGCCAUGCUUCCAAGAAAAGCUUCUAAGCUUCAGGUAACCAGGAACCGUACCCCAAACCGACACAGGUGGUCGGGUAGAGAAUACCAAGGCGCUUGAGAGAACUCGGGUGAAGGAACUAGGCAAAAUGGCACCGUAACUUCGGGAGAAGGUGCGCCGGCUAGGGUGAAGGAUUUACUCCGUAAGCUCUGGCUGGUCGAAGAUACCAGGCCGCUGCGACUGUUUAUUAAAACACAGCACUCUGCAAACACGAAAGUGGACGUAUAGGGUGUGACGCCUGCCCGGUGCCGGAAGGUUAAUUGAUGGGGUUAGCGCAAGCGAAGCUCUUGAUCGAAGCCCCGGUAAACGGCGGCCGUAACUAUAACGGUCCUAAGGUAGCGAAAUUCCUUGUCGGGUAAGUUCCGACCUGCACGAAUGGCGUAACGAUGGCGGCGCUGUCUCCACCCGAGACUCAGUGAAAUUGAAAUCGCUGUGAAGAUGCAGUGUAUCCGCGGCUAGACGGAAAGACCCCGUGAACCUUUACUGUAGCUUUGCACUGGACUUUGAGCCUGCUUGUGUAGGAUAGGUGGGAGGCUUUGAAGCGUGGACGCCAGUUCGCGUGGAGCCAUCCUUGAAAUACCACCCUGGCAUGCUUGAGGUUCUAACUCUGGUCCGUAAUCCGGAUCGAGGACAGUGUAUGGUGGGCAGUUUGACUGGGGCGGUCUCCUCCUAAAGAGUAACGGAGGAGUACGAAGGUGCGCUCAGACCGGUCGGAAAUCGGUCGCAGAGUAUAAAGGCAAAAGCGCGCUUGACUGCGAGACAGACACGUCGAGCAGGUACGAAAGUAGGUCUUAGUGAUCCGGUGGUUCUGUAUGGAAGGGCCAUCGCUCAACGGAUAAAAGGUACUCCGGGGAUAACAGGCUGAUACCGCCCAAGAGUUCAUAUCGACGGCGGUGUUUGGCACCUCGAUGUCGGCUCAUCACAUCCUGGGGCUGAAGCCGGUCCCAAGGGUAUGGCUGUUCGCCAUUUAAAGUGGUACGCGAGCUGGGUUUAGAACGUCGUGAGACAGUUCGGUCCCUAUCUGCCGUGGACGUUUGAGAUUUGAGAGGGGCUGCUCCUAGUACGAGAGGACCGGAGUGGACGAACCUCUGGUGUUCCGGUUGUCACGCCAGUGGCAUUGCCGGGUAGCUAUGUUCGGAAAAGAUAACCGCUGAAAGCAUCUAAGCGGGAAACUUGCCUCAAGAUGAGAUCUCACUGGGAACUUGAUUCCCCUGAAGGGCCGUCGAAGACUACGACGUUGAUAGGCUGGGUGUGUAAGCGUUGUGAGGCGUUGAGCUAACCAGUACUAAUUGCCCGUGAGGCUUGACCAU